UGCCAGCAGCCGCGGUAAGACGAGCCACCCAAACGUUAUUCGGAAUUACUGGGCUUAAAGGGUGUGUAGGCGGUGUAGCAAGUCGGGAGUGAAAUACCUCAGCUUAACUGAGGAACUGCUUUCGAUACUGCUAUGCUUGGGUGAGACAGAGGUAAGCGGAACUUAGGGUGGAGCGGUGAAAUGCGUUGAUAUCCUAAGGAACACCGGUGGCGAAGGCGGCUUACUGGGUCUCUACUGACGCUGAGGCACGAAAGCCAGGGUAGCAAACGGGAUUAGAUA
rnacentral:rRNA from 1 species